rnacentral:rRNA from 1 species
AGCAGUAGCCGCGGUAAUACGAAGGGGGCUAGCGUUGCUCGGAAUGACUGGGCGUAAAGGGCGCGUAGGCGGUUUUGACAGUCAGAUGUGAAAUUCCUGGGCUUAACCUGGGGGCUGCAUUUGAGACGUCAAGACUAGAGUGUGAGAGAGGGUUGUGGAAUUCCCAGUGUAGAGGUGAAAUUCGUAGAUAAUCGGAAGAACACCAGUGGCGAAGGCGGCUCACUGGCUCAUUCUAGACGCUGAGGUGCGAAAGCGUGGGGAGCAAACAGGAUUAGAUACCCCAGUAGUCCCUGUCUCUUAUAC